AAGACUAUACUUUCAGGGAUAAUUUCUAUAGUUUGUUACUAGGGAAGUUUCUCUGAACAUGUGGAGCACCUGAAACCAUGAGGAAGAGAUGGAGUGUUCUCUCCUGAGCGCAAAGCUGGCUUUUGGUGUUGCUUCAGUAACUGCCAUUUGCCAUUGGUGAUUGUUCUUUGUUUUGGGAGAGCAAGAAGGAGAGAACAUUGUUUCAGUGGG